UACGGGGGGAGCAAGCGUUGUUCGGAUUUACUGGGCGUAAAGGGCGCGUAGGCGGUCACUACAAGUCAGUUGUGAAAUCUCUGGGCUUAACUCAGAACGGUCAACUGAUACUGUUGGACUAGAGUGCAGAAGGGGCAACUGGAAUUCUCGGUGUAGCGGUGAAAUGCGUAGAUAUCGAGAGGAACACCCGUGGCGAAGGCGGCCAACUGGGCCGGACCUGACGCUGAGGCGCGAAGGCGUGGGGAGCGAACGGG
rnacentral:rRNA from 1 species